rnacentral:rRNA from 1 species
AUUGAACGCUGGCGGCAGGCCUAACACAUGCAAGUCGAGCGAGCGGCGGACGGGUGAGUAAUGUAUGGGGACUGCCCGAUAGAGGGGGAUAACUACUGGAAACGGUAGCUAAUACCGCAUAAUAUCUGAUAACACAUAUGGGAUUAGCUAGUAGGUGAGGUAAUGGCUCACAUAGGCGACGAUCCCUAGCUGGUCUGAGAGGAUGAGCAGCCACACUGGGACUGAGAAACGGCCCAGACUCCUACGGAGGCAGCAGUGGGGAAUAUUGCACAAUGGGCGAAAGCCGGAUGCAGCCAUGCCGCGUGUAUGAAGAAGGCCCUAGGGUUGUAAAGUACUUUCAGUCGGGAGGCGUUACCGACAGAAGAAGCACCGGCUAACUCCGUGCCAGCAGCCGCGGUAAUAC